rnacentral:lncRNA from 1 species
AAUCUUCUUCCAAGAAUACCAUCGGUUUCCAUAUAACAAUGAUGUUCUUUAGUGGAUCUACAUAUAUAGAUGCUUUUACAUUCUUCACCGUCUUCAUCUACAUUUGAAACUUAUUGAAUCGAUUUCUGAAUUUCACAUAUCCCUCUACAAAUCUAUUUCUUAAUAAAAGAUACUUUUGAUGAGAUAUUUCAUAUGGCAGAAAGUUCAUCAAGGUAUUUUUUGUUCAUUUUGUUAG